rnacentral:sRNA from 1 species
UUCUACAAGGAAUCAUUGAUGAAAGUUAUGCCUUAUGUUGACAUACUUUUUGGAAAUGAGACAACUUACCACAUCUGAGAGAAACCUGACAUGUGGGCAUACUUCAGCGAUCCUUAAUAGAGUGGCCCUCUUGCUUCCAAGUGUCUUGAAGCUGCCAGGCAGAUCUCUAUCAUACGUCAGUACAGGAAAAGGCAAGAGAAGGAUUGUGAAAGCUGUCAUCUAUAGGUUUCUUCGACUUCAUUGUGGCCUUUGGAUGAGAAGGGCUGGUUAUAAGAAAAAAUUAUGGAAAAAGGCACCUGCAAGAAAAAAGCGAUUGAGGGAAUUUGUAUUCUGCAAUAAAACCCAGAGUAAACUCUUAAGAUAAAAUGACGACGUCCUUCUGGAAGAGGCGAAACUGGUAUGUCCAUGAUCCUUAUCAGAAGUGUCAUGAUCGAACAAACCUGAAAGUAUAGAUCAGAAGUUUCACUUGUUUCUCAGUUAUUGAAUAUGUAUCUUUGUGUACAUAUCUUUGCAAAAAUGGAUAAGUAAAAAUCUCGAUGUAAAUUGUAUCAAUGAAUAUGUAAACAUACAGUGACAACACUGAACUUAUAAAAGUUUUAAAACUU